AACGAACGCUGGCGGCAUGCCUAACACAUGCAAGUCGAACGAGAUCUUCGGGUCUAGUGGCGCACGGGUGCGUAACGCGUGGGAAUCUGCCCUUUGGUUCGGAAUAACAGUUGGAAACGACUGCUAAUACCGGAUGAUGACGAAAGUCCAAAGAUUUAUCGCCAGAGGAUGAGCCCGCGUAGGAUUAGCUAGUUGGUGUGGUAAAGGCGCACCAAGGCGACGAUCCUUAGCUGGUCUGAGAGGAUGAUCAGCCACACUGGGACUGAGACACGGCCCAGACUCCUACGGGGGGAAGGAGUGGGAAAUAUUAGACAAGGGGGAAAAGCCUGAUCAGGCAAUGCCGCGUGAGUGAUGAAGGCCUUAGGGUUGUAAAGCUUUUUUACCCGGGAUGAAAAUGACAGACCCGGGAGAAAAGGCCCCGGCUACCUCCGUGCCACCCGCCGCGGUAA
rnacentral:rRNA from 1 species